GGAUGAAUAAAAGCGCCAGAACUUGAGCUAGCGCGGGGCGAAUGAUGAAUUGAUGACAUGAAUAUGUUAUCACAUGAAUUCUGAAUUCAACGGCAGACCAAGUUGACGAGGUAGAGGUGUUCGAAUGUUCGGCGGGGACCUCUCGGUGAUGCACCAGAGCCGUGAACCGAAAACGGAAAAUGAAUGGGCGACUGUUCACACAACGAUUCGGUGGGUGCUAG
rnacentral:ncRNA from 2 species